CCGCUCCCAAAGUUGGUGCCGGAGCCGCGCUCGCCGCCGCCGCCCCGAGCGGCUCCGCGCUACAAGCACGUCGUUAUCGAGCACCAUGGCUGUGAUGAUGACAAGCGCUGCCAUGUAACGCAGCGCGGGCUGCGCUCUCAUCUCGGGCUCAUCCUCCGAGAAACAGCAUUUUACCGCCGCCAGCAGAGCGCGGAGCAGAGCGCCUCGAACCACAGACCUCUUCGCCGUGCAGGAUGGAAAAUGUCUUCAGCCACCUGAUGAACAAGCACAGAUGAUGCUCUUAGAAUGUCUUUUUUCAAAGUCACCGAGUUUCUUUUUAAGUGGAAAGCUGAGUUUUUGCCUUGCUCAAUCUAGGGGGACAACCUCUGAGCAAUUAAUAAACGUUGAAUAGCAGUGAAA